rnacentral:rRNA from 1 species
ACGAACGCUGGCGGCAUGCCUCACACAUGCAAGUCGAACGAACCCUUCGGGGUUAGUGGCGCACGGGUGCGUAACGCGUGGGAAUCUGCCCUUUGCUUCGGAAUAACUCAGGGAAACUUGUGCUAAUACCGGAUGAUGUCUUCGGACCAAAGAUUUAUCGGCAAGGGAUGAGCCCGCGUAGGAUUAGGUAGUUGGUGGGGUAAAGGCCUACCAAGCCGACGAUCCUUAGCUGGUCUGAGAGGAUGAUCAGCCACACUGGGACUGAGACACGGCCCAGACUCCUACGGGAGGCAGCAGUGGGGAAUAUUGGACAAUGGGCGCAAGCCUGAUCCAGCAAUGCCGCGUGAGUGAUGAAGGCCCUCGGGUCGUAAAGCUCUUUUACCAGGGAUGAUAAUGACAGUACCUGGAGAAUAAGCUCCGGCUAACUCCGUG